AGAACGAACGCUGGCGGCAUGCCUAAUACAUGCAAGUCGAACGAACACUUCGGUGUUAGUGGCGCACGGGUGCGUAACGCGUGGGAAUCUGCCCUUGGGUUCGGAAUAACAGUUGGAAACGACUGCUAAUACCGGAUGAUAUCGAAAGAUCAAAGAUUUAUCGCCCAGGGAUGAGCCCGCGUAGGAUUAGCUAGUUGGUGAGGUAAGGCUCACCAAGGCGACGAUCCUUAGCUGGUCUGAGAGGAUGACCAGCCACACUGGGACUGAGACACGGCCCAGCCUCCGUACGGGAGCAGCAGGUAGGAAUAGUGGACAAGUGGGCACAGCCUAGACUCCAGACAAGUCGGCCG
rnacentral:rRNA from 1 species